rnacentral:snoRNA from 2 species
CAGUUAGGGGAAUGAUGUACUACCGAAAAGCUUUGGUUCUUGAAGCAUUUCUAGAUAUGGCCAAACAUGAAGGUAAUACACAUGUCUG